UGGCGGACGGGUGAGUAACGCGUGGGGUAACCUGCCCUGUACAGGGGGAUAACAGUUGGAAACGGCUGCUAAAACCGCAUAACAUGGAGAUACCGCAUGAUAUUUCCAUCAAAUAUUUAUAGGUACAGGAUGGGCCCGCGUCUGAUUAGCCAGUUGGCAGGGUAAUGGCCUACCAAAGCGACGAUCAGUAGCCGACUUGAGAGAGUGACCGGCCACAUUGGGACUGAGACACGGCCCAAACUCCUACGGAAGGCAGCAG
rnacentral:rRNA from 1 species